rnacentral:rRNA from 1 species
CCGAUGUGAAAUCCCUGGGCUCAACCUGGGAACUGCAUUGGAUACUGCANGACUAGAGUGUGGUAGAGGGUAANGGAAUUCCUGGUGUAGCAGUGAAAUGCGUAGAUAU